GCCAGUCACAACGCAACGAAUGGCCUUUAAGUCUUGUCACCAAGACGUUCCCAAGCAAGGAUGGGAAGGUUCGUAAGGUUGAGGUCAAGAUCUGUAAGCGAGGAGAGACUAAGUUGUUCCUCAGACCAGUGACUGAACUAUUCUUAUUGUUAUCUGUUUAGAGUUUAAAAUAUGGUACCAGUGAUACCAGACGGGGAGUGUCAUGCCUUCAGCAUUUGCUUUGUGUAGAUCUGAUUACUUUUACUACAGAAAGUUGUAUUAUUGCCCCAUCUGGUGGUCAGUCCCAUCAAUUAAUUUGACCCUCAUAGCCUCUUGUAGCCAGUCUUGCAAUGCAUUCUGGGAUGAAGAAGCUGGGAUCAGCCUUUCUACUUCCCUCAUGGUCCCAGACAGUCAUGCUUUACAUGGGUCCAACUCUCAUAUAGCAUUCGAUGUUUUACCUCAUUAUCACACAUCAUCAUAUCGUAUUGUACAUCAAAUCAACGCAUCAUAUCUGUGAUCCCUUUACUGAAUAAUAAAACACCGUUCUACAAACA